rnacentral:misc_RNA from 1 species
GGAUGAAGAACGUAGCGAAAUGCGAUAAGUAGUGUGAAUUGCAGAAUUCAGUGAAUCAUCGAAUCUUUGAACGCACAUUGCGCCCCAUGGUAUUCCGUGGGGCAUGCCUGUUCGAGCGUCAUUUACCCCCUCAAGCUCCGCUUGGUGUUGGGCGUCUGUCCCGCUUCGCGCGCGGACUCGCCCCAAAGGUAUUGGCAGCGGUCGUGCCAGCUUCUCGCGCAGCACAUUGCGCUUCUCGAGGCACCGGUGGGCCCGCGUCCAUCAAGCUCACCCCCCCAGUUUGACCUCGGAUCAGGUAGGGAUACCCGCUGAACUUAAGCAUAUCAAUAAGCGGAGGA